GGUCCCAUAGCUUAGCCUGGAUGGAGCGUCCGGCUGAUAACCGGAAGGUCGUGUGUUCGAAUCACAUUGGGACCACCA
rnacentral:tRNA from 1 species